AUGACCGUCAGCUGCAGGCUCGUGGCGGUCGCCGUGGCGCUGGCGCUGGCGGCGGCGCUCCUGUCGUCAUCGCCACUGCACGGCGACGUGCGGGAGGUGGUGGAGAUACGCGACGUGGAGCUGAUCCCCGUGGACGGCGGCGCCGCGGGGCCGGAGAGCGUGGCGUUCGGCGUGGGCGGCGAGGGCCCCUACGCGGGCGUGUCGGACGGGAGGGUCAUCCGGUGGCUCCCGGAGGAGGGCCGCUGGGUCGACCACUCCUCCGCCGCCGCGCCAGAGCUAUUGGAUAGUUGCAGAGGAUCCCAGGACCCGAUGAAGGAGCACGAGUGUGGGCGCCCGCUGGGCCUCAAGUUCAACAAUAAAACUGGGGAGUUGUACGUCGCAGAUUCUUAUUUUGGGCUGAGAGUGGUCAGCCCCGGGGAUAACGUUUCAAGGCUGAUUGGGCCUGGACAGCCUGGGAGCCCCUUCAGCUUCGCCAACGGCGUCGAGAUUGACCAGGAAACUGGAGUUGUCUACUUCACCGAGACCAGCACGAGGUUCCACAGAAGGCAGUUCUUGAACAUUGUCAUAUCCGGUGACGCCACUGGCAGAUUGCUCAAAUAUGACCCUAACACCAAGGAGGUUCAAGUCUUGGUCGACGGCCUGGCAUUCCCCAACGGCCUUCUCAUGAGUGAAGACGGAUCCCACCUUCUCCUCGCCGAGACCACAACUUGCAAGAUCCACCGAUACUGGCUCAAGACACCCAAGGCCUCAACCCUUGAGUAA
rnacentral:rRNA from 1 species